rnacentral:rRNA from 1 species
UACGGAGGAUCCGAGCGUUAUCCGGAUUUAUUGGGUUUAAAGGGUGCGUAGGCGGCCUAUUAAGUCAGGGGUGAAAUACGGUGGCUCAACCAUCGCAGUGCCUUUGAUACUGAUGGGCUUGAAUCCAUUUGAAGUGGGCGGAAUAAGACAAGUAGCGGUGAAAUGCAUAGAUAUGUCUUAGAACUCCGAUUGCGAAGGCAGCUCACUAAGCUGGUAUUGACGCUGAUGCACGAAAGCAUGGGUAGCAAACAGG